UCCACUUGAAAACACCAUCUUUAGGCGUCCCCAUUAAAGGAAAGACAGUAGCCACCCAAAAUCCCACACUUGAAUUUUUCCUUUAUUGAGCCACCCUACACCUGCUAGCCCACUUGUUGUGGUGUGUGCUGCCUGCAUGCUAAGAACCAUGCUGCACCCUCAAGCCUUGACAUGAUCCCUCCUAAGCCUCAGCCAUCACAUUGCCUUGGUCAACAGCGUGCCACUCAUGCUGUAGGCAUUCAUGGGUGCCCAUAAGGCUUUGGUGACGCAUCAUUGAGUCAAGGUGCUGACACUGUUCCUUCUCUCAUUCUCUCAGUAACUAAAAGGAGACGUUUCAAUUUCUUAGCAUCCAAAAUGUAUAUUUAAUGGGAUUUAUGCGCAUUGGUCUAGAUUUAGGUUUAGAAUAUAAUAACUUUUUUUGACUAAUGAAUUAAUUAAAUCCAAAUUUUGUAAAGAUGAAUAAAAAGGAUUAUACGUAAGACUUCAAGAAAAAGAAAAAGGAAAGACAGAAUUUCAGAAUUCUAAACCAUGUAAGAGAAAAUGUCUAUCGCUGUUCGUAUACCAGACAUGAUGAAAUCUGUGUAGGCGUUCUCUGCUUGAAGGUACGAAAGAACUUCAGGACUGGAGCGAGAAUCAUCCCGAAGCCAGUAGUAGUUGUCGAUCCUGACGUCUCCGAACAACUCCAUCUCAUGCUUCACCUUUUUUGCCGCUGGCACGGGAGGGGGAGCCGGCGAAUAGGACGACUCGAUCGUCGCCGCCAUUGACGAUGACUAUGACUAUGACGAUGACGAUGGUGAUGGAUAAAACGCCGCCUUUUGAAUUUGGAGCUUAGCGCUGAAAAUGAUUUUAGGGUUAUUUGACUAAAAGGGAUGUUAAAGGUGAAAACACUAAUUUGGAAGUAUUGAUUUCAUUUUGAAAACAUUUAAUAUAAUUUUUUUGGAAGAAUCAGUUUCUUUUUUGAAACAUGAAAUUUCCUUUUUGUGUGUUUUUUUUUUUUUUGGGAAAAAGGAAAUACCUGUUAAUAAUUUUUUUUUAAUAAAAUCAAACAAAUUUUAAAAAUAAAUUGUGUAUAAUUUUUAAUAUGUUAGAAUUAUUUUUCUAAAUACGAGAAUUAUUCUAUCCUUUUAAUUAAAUAUUUCAUGAUUUUAUAAAUCAAGAAUUAUAAUCAAAUCUGAAUUUUGUUAGAAAAAAAAUGCAAAAUAUAUAUAAAAAAAAUGUAGGUAUAAAGUUAUGUCACAAUUAUGGAUUAUUGAAAUUUUUUGGACAAUAGAGUCAUAUUCGAAUUCGAUACGUGAAAGUGACUUUUCAUAAUAUAGAAUAACGUUGAAGAAUCAUAAGUUAGCUAGAAUAAAAUAAAGGGUCAAGCAUAUUCAUUGAAAGAGAAUAAAAGGUAAGAUGCUUAUCAAAUAUAAUAAAAUUUAUAUAUUUUCAUGUUUUUCAAUUUCCCGAUAUGAUAAGGUUAUGUUUGGUCUUAAAAAGGAUUAAGAAAAUAAAAAUUAUAUAUUUUUUAUUUAAAAAAAAAAAAGUUUGAAACAUGUUAUAAAAAUAAUUUAUUUAGUUUUUAUUUUUCUUCAUAUUUGACUUUCAUAAAACUAGCCAAAUCCUAACAUACAAGGCAGGAUUCAAAAGGCAAAUAGAUAAAUUAAGUCUGCAGUGUAUAACACAGCAAUAUAAACUCAAAUACUGAACCCCAGAAGAAUUGUAGAGAUUCUUGAUGAAUGAAAAUCAUGUCACAGGAGAGAUUGGUUGCCAACAUGUUCAGGAAUCAGAUUCUGAGUUCUGGCGUCUUUUGACCUUAUUGGGCUUAUUCUUUUAUUGCUUCCAAAGUGAUAAGGACUCCUGCCACUUGGUAUCCAGUGAUGAAAACCGGGCAUGAGCUGUUCUUUGUCUCUACCAAAACAAAUCUUCAUCCAGAAAUGUUAAAAGUCCAUCCCUCUGUCACAAGUUAUUUCAAUCUUAGAAUUUCCUGAACACAAUGUACUUGAAACAAACACGAUGUAAGAGCCUGUUCAGCAAGAGUAUUAGUACCAUGUCCUACCGGACUGAAUCAGUUUUGCCCAGAGCCAAGGGGAGGGGCCAUGUCUAAAGACUUGAUGAUAAAAGUAUAAGUGAAGGCAUAUUCUUGGAGCUUCUCAAAUCUGCAUCCGACAAAAAAAGAUGUAUAUAUUAGUUCAUUUGAAAAGCAAAAUAUACAAGAAAUAAUUGUAGUUCUGACCUUAAAAGAAAAUCAUUCUAUGCCUGUCUGUAAUAUAUUUAAACCAUGGCCAACCUUUAAUAACCAUCAGUUCUCAAAUCUCAAUGCCCUCAACUACCGGUUAAAUAGAAUAUACAAUAAUUGUUGUUCUCUUUAAUAUCUUUCAUCAUUAUCAUAAUAUAAGAACAAAAGUUUAUAAAGACUUCCCAUCAGGCUGAUUGAUCUAAAGUACUUCACGUCACCUGCCACCUGCCCCUCCUUUCUUAGGGAUGAGAACUAAAAAGAUUGCAUUAAGGCUACGAGCCCUCUCUAUCCUUUUUAAUUAUUUUCCUCUUCUCAUGUUUGGGAGAAGUGAACAGAAAUCAAGUAUAUGAGAAAGAAAAAGAACUCUCUUCCACUAAUAAAAGUCUCCAGGAAUCUGAAACAUGAUUCAAACCCCAUUGGUCACCAAGGAGUAGCCAAAAUUCAAUCUUCAGAAACUUUGUUAAAACUUAGGACAAAUUUUGCCUCAUCCAGCAGAAUUGCAAGGGAAAAUGUGACUGGCAGAGAGCAUGUUGAGGUGGAUAUUGUUUAAAAAAGUUUCAUUCUAAUCUAAAUGCAAUUCCAACAGAAGAAACUAAGCAUGUCAUUUAAGUAUACUAAUUUACGAUAAAGAACAUUAACAGUGUCAAUGAGGGCACAAUAAAUGAAAUCAAGAGCUUCAAAGAGAAUUAGGUAGUCACAAGGGUCAACGGGUCAACAUAGUGAAAGAGAACAUACAGUUGCCUGAAAUAAUGGAGAAUAGCCCACUUGAAUUCAUAACCAUCAGGCAGGACAAGGAGAACAUAAACAGAAAACAAAAAAACAUGUAAGAGAUUAGAUAAGCUUAUUACAAUAUGCAGAUCCAAGGACCAUGUAUUAGAUGUGUAAUUGGUAGUUGCAGGCUUGCAGCCAAUCCAGACCAUCAAACCAUUGAGCCAAACUUAUCCUUGGCAAAAAAUUACAUGGAUUUGAUAACAAUGACUAGUCUAAGUUUUGGCUCAUCCAGACAAUAAAGAGUAUAGCGCACAUUAUUUUUCUCCACCAAGGAAUAAUUAAGUGGACUGCACUGACCUGAUAUUUGAAAUCAUAACUUGAAGAAUUUCCCUACAGUAAUCGGUCAAGAACUGGCUAGCUUAAACUGGGUUGUAUGAGACAGAAUCAUGACAAAAUCAUAAACGUUUUGUUUAUCCACUUGUUUCUUUAACUAUUUUAUAUGUUUAAGAUUUGAAACCAGGAGAACAUGGUCCAAAUGAGGAUAUCAAAUACCAGGAAUUAGGGAAUACCAUUCCAUCACCAUAACAAGUGUAUAUGUUAAUGAAAAGUAAAAAGGGGGAAAAACCAUUCAUCAUGCUUACUUCUUUUUUACUUAUAUUAGUAUCAUUGUCAUCUCUCAUAAAAAUAAUAGUAGUUGCUAGUUAAUCCUCUUAGGGAAUAUUUUUGUCCUCUUCAUACAACUCCAUCCUUUUAUUCUAAAAGCCAUCAUGUUAGUCCUGCAUAGAUGUCCAGAAUUUUGAAGCCUUGUGAGAUGUUUCCUUCUACUCUAUUAACACACUCUUAUCAAACACUCCAAACCUGCCUUCAGAAAUCAACUUCUACAAAACCAAAAGUUAAUAGCUUUAGAUUGAAGUAUAACCAAAAGGAAAAUGAACUUACCUCCCUGACUUUGAGGAAUGCCCAGCAGCCAUUUCACAUUUAAAUAGAAGUAUAUUAUCAUCUGUUUUUGUAUCCCUCAGCUUUGCCACCAACUUAGCAGGUUCUGAGUACAAAACACGUGGAUCUGCCACAGUAUACCAGUGUACAGUUUAAAAACUAAGAGGAGUAACCAGAUCUGAGAACAUAACAUGCUAUCCUCCCUGCCUAUUAUGUAAGCAAGCCCAUUGAUGAGAUCAGCAACUAGUGAGUUACAUCAGGCGGUGCUUCAAAAUGCUUCAGCAAGCAAAGAUGCCUUGGCUUUUGUCAAUUGGCAUAGGUGACCCAUCAUUUUGAAUAUCUGAUUUUUUUUUUUUUUUAAUCAAUUUCAAUAUUUAGUUGUACACCAUUGUUUGAUCACAGCAUAACACAUAAAUUGUGGAACGUGUAUCAAACACUAGCAUAUAGAUUAUUUUAUUAUUGUAUUUUUUUUUUUAAUCAUAAUAGUUGUAUUAUUUUUUUUUUCUAUCAGAAUUAUGUUAUAGUUGUAUUCAUUAGACAAAUAGCUACUUGAUAUAAUGAAAUAAAAAUGUGUGUGGAAGUGUAAAAGACAGACAUCAUAACUAGAAUGGAGGGCAAUGAAACACAUAGGACAAGAAGAAAAAUGGUUCAUCUUUGCAAGAUAGAGGGAGAAAGGGUACAAGGUUUCAUUCAUUUGUAACCACAGGGAAAGGAAAUUACAUAAUUCAUGGUUGUUGAGUUCUAUGCUCUUCCAGUUAGUGAUUUAACCCCAUAUUGGUUUCCCUUGGAUAAAAGAUGAAAAAUUCCUCAUCGCAUACACUGUUCAUUUAUAAAGUCCUUAAAGCAUAUUUGGUUGCAGUAGAUACUAUCAAAACCCCAAGGCAAAGUCAGUCUUUAGUAGUCUCUUUAGAAAUUACACAAUCUACAAUGGAAGAAAGAAAGAAAAGAAUGGAGUUUUUCUGUUGAUAGAGCUCGGUUUAAGAAGAUGCUAAAGAAAGAAAAGAAUAUUUAAAUUUCUUGCGGGUUUGAAUAACGAAUUGGAUGAGGUAUAUGGGCGUGUACUUGGUAAAAAACCUCUUCCUUCUAUAAGAGAAGUUUUCUCAGAUGCUCAAAGGAAGAAAGUAAAAGAACUAUGAUGAUGGCCAAGAUAACUAAACCUAUUAUGGUUUCUAAAAAUUUUGCUCUUAGUGUUUCUACUAUGGAAGGUCUGUCACCUAAGUAGGAAUAGCAAUUAUUGGCCAAAGGAAGAAGUUUGAUGAAAAAGGAUGAUAGUGUGAUUUAUGGAACAAACUGAGGCAUACUAAGGAAACCUGUUGGAAGCUGCAUGGUAAAGCAUCAAAUUAGAAAGUGAAAAAACCUGUAGAAAGAACAUGAGAAAUGCAAGCACUGAUAGAAACUCAAAGUACUAUUAAAUCAUCACUCUUUAACAAAGAGAAACUUGAACACUUGUACAAGUUGAUGAAUCAAUCUUCUCAAAAUCCCUCAUGUACUUUGGCCUAUAAAGGUAUUGUUCUUAGACCUCUAAGUUUUGUUUUUUUUAUACACCUUGGAUUAUUGAUUUGGGUGAUUCAGAUCAUAUGACUAGUGAAUUACAACUUUUCUCAUCCCAUACUCCAUGCCCUUGAGGCCUGGCUCAAGUGGUAAAAAGUUGGAGAGGCUUUGUGGCAGGUUCCAGGUUCAAGUCCCAAUAGGGACAAAAAGUUUAUCUAUAAAAAAAGAAGGUAAAUGGGUAUUUACUAUGAAAUACAAUGCAGAUAGAUCCAUUGAAAGAUACAAAGCAAGGCUGGCUGCGAAAGGCUUCACACAGACUUAUGGGAUUGACUACUAAGAGACAUUUGCACCAUUUUCAAAACCGAAUAGAAAAAUAGUUCUCUUGUCCCUUAUAACCAACUUGAACUGGUCUUUAUAGUAGUUAGAUGUCAAUAAUGUUUUUCUAAACGGUGAAUUAGAGGAAAAAGUUUAUAUGGCCUUGCCUCCAAGUUUUGAAAGAAGAUUUGGAAGUGAAAAGUUGUGUAGGCUGAAAAAAUCACUCUACGGAUUGAAGUAGUCACCAAGAGCUUGGUUUGACAGAUUAUCUAAGUUAGAAGCCAUAGGAACUCACAAAACCAAGCAGAUCAUACUCUCUUCUACAAUCAUUCUAGCAAUGACAAGCUUGCUAGACUAAUAGUGUACGUGGAUGAUAUCAUCUUUACUAGAGAUAAUCUAGCUAAAUUGGAGAGAUUGAAGAAAUUUUUCGCUAAAGAGUUUGAGAUCAAGGAUCUGGGAACCUUAAAGUACUUAGGAAUGGAGUUUGGUAGAUCAAAGGAAGGUAUUUUAUGCCAUAAAGUAAGUAUACACAAGAUUUGCUCAAAGAAAUUGGAUUGCUAGGGUGUCAACCAACCGAGACUCUAAUUGAUCUUACUUACAAAUUAGGGUUACUAAAAGAGAGUAGGUGUGUUGACAAAGAACACCAUCAGAAGCUUGUGGGAAAUUGAUAUAUCUCUUUCAUACUUAACCAGAUACAGCUUAUUUAAUGACUGUUGUGAGCCAAUUCAUGCACUCUCCAAAUGAAGAACACCUUGAGGUAGCCUAUCGAGUUCUUAAGUACCUAAAAGGGAGUCCAAGAAAAGGCUUAAUGUUUAGAAGCAACAAUAGCCUUUAGAUUGAAGCCUACAACAAUGCUGAUUGGACUGGGAGCAUAACAGAUAGGAGAUCUAAUUCAGGUUAUUAUUCUUUUGUAGGAGGAAACCUAGUGACUUAGAGGGGCAAGAAGCAGCCUGUUGUUGCAAGAAGCAGUGUUGAAACUGAAUUGAGAGCAGCUACUCAUGGUAUUUUUGAACUUCUUUGGUUGAAGAAACUGUUUGAAGACCUAAGAAUUCUUAGUAGGAAGCCAAUGAAGCUCUAUUGUGAUAACAACGCAACCAUUAACAUUGCUCAUAAUCUAGUUCAAUAUGAUAGAACUAAGCAAGUUGAAGUGGACCAUCACUUCAUCAAGGAGAAGCUGGAAGCCAGACUGAUUUGCAUGCCUUAUGUACCUACUGAAGAACAGUUAGCAGAUGUUCUAACCAAGAGACUUCAUAAAGGGAUGCUUAAUUGCUUAAUUAAUAAGUUGGAAAUAAUAGAUUUUUUUUUUUUUUUGAUAGGUAAACAAGUUGGAGAUAAUAAAUAUCUUUGAACUAGCUUGAGGGGGAGUAUCGAAGAUUUCAGAAGUUUAUGAAUUAGUUUUAUUCUGCUUUAGUACAAAAUAGUUACAAUAGUUCAGUUUUAUUUAUUUGUAUUUUAAAAAGUUUGGUCCUAGUUUAUAGAAAGUUAGUCCUAGAUUUUGUUAGUUCCUAUUUUGUAGCUAGAAUUCAACACAUAGUUGUAUAUAAAUGGGCAUCUAUAUUCCUAUUUUUCUUUAUGAAAAUAAUAAGAAUUUUUCAUUCUUCUCUUAAAUUACGUUCAUACACAAACACAAUUCUCCUUCAGAAAUAUCAUGCUACACAACUUAGGAGGCUAUGUAUUCACCAAUAACAAUAAUGUCAACAACAUUUUAUGGACCUUUCCUAUACUAAGAACCACCUAUGCUGAUAAGGUAGAAACUGGAAUCACCAACUCAAAAGUGAGAAACUUUUGUACUUACCAUUCAAACCAGCUGUAACAAGAAUGUUUGGAUAAUUCUGUGCCUUGAUCUGUGUAAAGGAAGGUUAAAGGUCAGAUGAUAAGGACAACAGAUUUGUGAAUAAACUACAUUAGUCAAUUCUCAUAUACCAUCAGUGAAAGUACCCCAAAACGCAGCUAAAGGCUCUAGCAACAGAUUGAGGUACUUCUAGACUUAUAGUGACAAUGUAGUUCACCGCUAAAAGUCACUUUUCUUGUAGUUAUGUUCGACUCAUGCCUGUAGGUCAUUGAUUUGUAGGAUACUGGUCAACAAUAUGAAGAAAUUAUUGAGUUAAUUGCUGCUUACAUUAUCCACAGGGGAAUAUGACUUCAUGUAGAAGUAAAACUCCUCCUUCCGAGGGUCACCCCAUUCCUGCACCAACCGAAAGAAAUCACCAAGAACUCAUCUUUAAUUGCAGCCGUCAUCAUACACAGCCACACUUAACUUGGAACAAGAUAUCACACAGGUUUAUAUGCAGCCUUAAAAGCUUGGUUUAGAUAAAGGGGCCUAAUUCAGUUGUGUGGGAUUGACGUUUGAACAAUGAAAAACUUAAACAUCCAGUCUGGUAGAGGAUAUCAAAAUCUCAAUGAGGUCAUUCCUGUACCUUGAAGCACAUAAAAAUGGAAACUAAAAUUUGGCUAAUCCUAAUCAUUUGGGUGAUGUUAAAACUGAAUAAUGAUAUCAAACAACUAGCAUUUUUUCUUCCAUCCAAUUUCUUAAUCAUAAUUUAUGAUUAAGUCAAUUUGGCCUGAGAGAUAAAGUAAUUUGCCCGCAUUAAAAAUCUACCAAACUAUUUUUCACACAUAUGACAUAAACUGCUGGGAGACAGGCCUGUCAAAGGAUAGGAUAUCUGCUGAACUAAACACUAAAUACAAUUCAGGUAAAACACAAUUUAACAAAACCACGGAUACAUGUGUAGUUGCACUUUUUCAGAUUGAAUUCACAACUACAUGAAGACAUAUACACUGAAUUUGUAGAAUCGUCCAUAGGCCACUUUACAUUCAGAUUUAUCAAAAUAUUUUAUAUGUCAGAUAUCCUAUAAAAUUAUGGCAUACAUGAAACUGCCCAGAGCUUAUGUCCAUCUGAUGGUAAGCUGUUUAUACAAUCCUUUUAGAGUGUGGUUAUUCUCAAAUCAAAAUAGUCUUUCACACUUAUAAACUUUCUAUUACUUUGUCCGAUUCAUUCCUUACUCAACUUUCCAAAUGAAAAGCACAACUUUGGGAAGAACAGCAGCAAAAGGAAUUCUGAGCCAACUCAAAUGUAGCCUUUCCAUUCAAGUGUUUCCAUGUCAGGUAAUUAAUUGAGGAAUAUGGACUGUAAACUAAAGCAAAUUAGAGAUAUUUCAAUAUAUAUGGUUCAUCAGCUGUGCGGGAUGAUCUGUGAUUCAAUCCAAAAACAUUUCCUAGGUGAAAAAGGAAAAAAACACUGACUAGAUUAGAUAAUGAUCUUUUGAUGUAUUAAUUUUUUUUUUUUGCCAUCAAAUGUGGAAGAAUGUUUUUUAAUGGGAGAGUAAUAGAUUAUAUAAAAGGCACCUUGCAGAAAAGUGGGCACCACCCUAAUCUUCAGAGAUAAAACAAAGGAACAUAAACAGAGGAACGAAAAGAUAACAUUUUCGAAACAGGCCUUAGCCCCUGCUUGUUUGUUCUGCCAACAAAAUCUGAAGAAGACGGAUUCCCUACCACCAAAGGAUCCCUUAAUCGACAAAAUGGAGAGUUGAGAUGAAACUCAUUUAAAAAAAAAAUACUCCAAAUCAUAAAAAAUUCUUCCAUUAUUAUGCUUUUAUCAAACAAACCAAAACAAGCACAAAUAGGAUCAUCCCUUUUUCUACCCUUACCAACAGAACUUUCAUACUAUUAAAGUGUCCUCAACGAAAUGAUGUAAAGGCAAAAAGAAAAAUAAAAUAUGUUUGUAGGUGUUGAAUAUAAUGUAUUUAUAGUGUACAAUCUUUCUUUCCUUUCUUAAUAUAGGUCACAUAUAUGGUAUUUAGUUCAACCUAGCCUUGUAUAUAUAUUUCUCUAUUGUAAGAAGUUAAUCAUAUGAAUGAGAAUUAAGGUUUUUUUUUUCUCUCUCUCUCUCAACAUGGUAUCAGAGCCAAGGGAGAAAACUUUAUUCUUUCUGGUUUACCCGUGUAAUUAAUUCCGGGAAUCCGUCCAGUGACCGUAUUUCAUUCCGGUCACUUUUUCCAUCUCCCAAAGCCUUCCAGUCAGCCAUAUCGUGGUCAGAAAACCCUCAUCACCAUCAACAUUUUUCCGGCGAUAUUUUCCGGAAACUUUUUCGUCUUUUUUUUUCUUUUCGGCGAUAUUUUCCAACACCGACCACAUCAUCGGGUGCGUAAAGAGGAGAUCAACAACUUUUCUCAAAGCAUCGGAGCCAAAAACCGAUCCACGCGAUGUUUUUCUCCGGCAGCCUGAAUCCCACGCGCCGACGCGUGAGGGCGCAUGACCCACUUUCUGGUGCUGAGCUUCUACCAGCAGGCUCGUCCGGCGCAGUCUUGCACAUCUAAGCCUCUGUCAGUCCUCUCCAAACCCUACUUCUAAAUUUUUUUGGCACUUCAACCUCCGCGGGUCUUCUUUCAGCCUCCUCCGAUCUCCGACGGCAGCUCCCUUCCUUGGCCAAGACUUGUGUGUGCCUUGGGAAGGCCUCUUCUUCAUCUCCAGUCACUUUUCUCCUUUGUUUGGGUCCCGACAUACCAGGUUCUUCUUCCACAGCUGUGAUCCGACCUCCCUUUAGGGCUCUCUUUGAUCCAAACGUGAUUCAAUCUCAGGUGAAGUGGAUAUGGCGACUAAAAAUCCUAUUUUUACAUCCGCCAUCUUUGGAUCUCCUACUAUCACAUCGAAAAAAUUGAUUGGUAGUGAGAAUUAUCUCUCCUGGUCAGCGUCCGUGGAACUCUAGUUUAUGGGACAAGGUUAUGAGGAUCAUCUUGUUACACCUAAGGAUGCUAUACCUGAUGUUGACAAAGUGCAAUGGAAGAAAAUUGAUGCACAAUUAUGAAGCAUAUUAUGGUAAUCUGUUGAUCCCAAAAUUUUACAUCAUCUUCGUGCCUACAAAACCUGCUUUAAAUUUUGGACUCAGGCUAAAGGAUUAUACACGAAUGAUAUUCAACAAUUUUAUAAGGUGAUUUCUGAUAUUGUUCAUGUGAGACAGCAGGACAUGGAUUUGUCUACUUAUAUUGGCCGGAUUGCGUCUAUAAGGAGGAGUUCUUAACUUUGAUGCCCUUCACUAAUGGUGCUGAAGCUCAACAAAUACAAACUGACAAGUUCUUUAUGGUGUUAACCCUCAUUGGCCUCCGUCUAGAUCUUGAGUCUGUCCGAGAUCAGAUUCUUGCUAGUCCAUCAGUACCAUCAUUGGAUGAUGUGUUCACUCGUCUCUUACGCCUCUCCUCUACUUAGACCUUGUCAACUGAUGGUCCUUCAGAUUCAUCUGUGUUAGCCUCUCAGACUAACUCUCGAGGAGGACGUAGUGGCAAUCGGGAUCGAGGACAACGUCCUCAGUGCACCUAUUGUAAUAAGCUUGGUCACACUCGAGAUCAUUGUUAUCAGUUACAUGGACGACCUCCUCGCACUGCUAUCAUUGCUAUCAGUUACAUGGACUGCCCACAUUGCUCAAUCAUCUAAUCCUCUGCUAUCUCGACCUGACUCCGCUACGAGCUCCACAUCUCAGAGUAUCACCCUUACUGGUAAUGAUUAUGAUGUCUAUCUCUGAUAUCAGGCAGCCUCAUCAGCUUCUGUUGCUUCUGUUGCCCAGACCGGUAAUGUCUCUGUUUGCUUUACUCAAUCUCCUUCUCUUGGCCCAUGGAUUUUAGAUUCUGGAGCAUCUGAUCAUAUCUCUGGUAAUAAACAUCUUUUCUCCUCUAUUACUACUAUCUCUGCCUUACCUACUGUUACUUUAGCUAAUGGUUCCCAAACUAUAGCUAAAGGUAUUGGUUUGGCUCAUCCUCUCCCUUCCCUACCUCUCCAUUCUGUCCUUUAUGCCCUUGAGUGUCCUUGUAAUCUUAUUUCUAUCAGCAAAAUAACUCGCACUCUUAAUUGUUCUAUCACUUUUUCUGAUAAAUCUGUGAUCAUGUAGGACCGGAGUACGAGGAAGACGAUUGGCAUAGGGCAUGAAUCUCAAGGCCUCUAUCACCUCACAUCACCUUCAUCUCCUAUAGCUUGCAUUUCCACCGAUGCUCCUCUUCUCAUUCAUAGUCGUUUGGGUCAUCCUAGUCUCUCCAAGUUCCAAAAGAUGGUCCCUCGUUUUUCCACUUUGUCGUCGCUUGCGUGUGAGUCCUAUCAGCUUGGGAAACAUACUCGUGUCUCGUUCCCUAAGCGCUUGAAUAAUCGGGCAAAGUCUCAUUUUAAACUUGUCCACACCGAUGUUUGGGGUCCGUGUCGAACCGCGUCCACUUUAGAAUUUCAGUAUUUUGUCACUUUCAUUGAUGACUAUUCAAGAUGUACUUGGUCAUUUUUAAUGAAAAAUCGAGCUGCGUUAUUCUUUAUUUUCUAGAAAUUUUAUGCUGAAAUCCAAACACAAUUCAAUGUUUCUAUUCGAGUGUUACGCAGUGACAAUGCUCGGGAAUAUUUUUCUACACCCUUUACUUCUUUUAUGUCCCAACAUGGGAUCCUCCAUCAGUCAUCUUGUGCUCAUACUCCUCAAUAAAAUGGGGGGUUGAACGUAAAAAUCGACAUCUUGUUGAGACAGCUUGUACCCUCCUUCUCCAUAGUCAUGUUCCUUUUCGUUUUUGGGGGGAUGCUGUUCUUACAACUUGUUACUUGAUUAAUCGUAUGCCCUCAUCUAUAUUACAUGACCAAAUCCCUCAUUCCCUCUUUUUUCCUACCCAACCUCUUUAUUUCCUUCCUCCUCGUGUCUUUGGUUGUACUUGUUUUGUUCAUACUCUCACACCUGGACAGGACAAGCUCUUCGCCAAGGCUACAAAAUGCAUCUUCUUGGGAUACUCUCGACUUCAGAAGGGCUAUCGAUGUUAUUCCCUUGACACUCACCAUUAUUUUCUCUCCGCUGAUGUCACCUUCUUUGAGAACUCUCCAUUCUUCUCAUCCUCUGAAUCUCUUCCCAUUUCUGAAGUAUUGCCACUUCCCUAUAUAUCCCUCCCUUUAGAUGCGCUCUCUCAUCCUCUUCAGGUUUAUCAUCGUUGACAUCGUGCUAUUGCUCCUCCUCUCUCUUUAAUUGAGGUACCUGAUGACUCACCUCCUAUCCCACUGAUUUCUCCUACCCCGGCCCUGUCAUCUACUAACCAUUUGCCUAUUUCUCUUUGAAAAGGUAAUCGAUCUACUCGUAAUCCUCAUCCUAUUUAUAAUUUUUUGAGCUACCAUCGAUUAUCUUCACCAUAUUUUGUCUUUGUCUCUACUUUAUCCUCUGUUUCUCUUCCUAAGAGCACUAGUGAGGCACUUUCUCAUCCUGGGUGGCGACAGGCAAUGGUUGAUGAAAUGACUACUCUGCACUCCAAUGGCACAUGGGAUCUUGUUUCUUUACCUCUUGGUAAAUCUACAGUUGGAUGUCGUUGGGUCUACACUGUUAAAGUUGGUCUUGAUGGUCAGGUUGAUCACCUUAAGGCCCGCUUGGUUGCUAAAGGUUAUGCUCAGAUUUAUGGUUGUGACUAUGGUGACACCUUCUCUCCUGUUGCCAAAAUUGCUUCUGUUCACUUAUUUCUCUCCAUGGCAACUAUGUGUCAUUGGCCUCUUUAUCAGUUGGAUAUUAAGAAUGUUUUCCUUCAUGGUGAACUUCUCGAGGAAGUGUAUAUGGAGCAACCACCUGGUUUUGUUGCUUAGGGGGGGUCUGGUUUAGUGUGCAAGUUACGCCGCUCUCUAUAUGGCUUGAAACAGUCUCCUCUAGCAUGGUUUGGGCAUUUUAAUUCAGUUGUUCAAGAGUUUGGAAUGCUUCGGAGUGAAGCAGAUCAUUCAGUUUUCUAUCAUCAUAACUCUUUGAGCCAAUGCAUCUAUUUGGUAGUUUAUGUGGAUGACAUUGUCAUUACAGGCAGUGAUCAGGAGGGUAUCCAAAUAAUAAAGCAACAUCUUUUCAACCACUUUCAAACCAAAGACUUGGGCAAACUCAAGUACUUUCUGGGACUUGAAAUAGCUCAAUCCAGUUCAGGUGUGGUUAUGUCACAAAGGAAGUAUGUCUUCGACAUCUUGGAAGAAACAGGUAUGUUAGAAUGUAAACCUGUUGACACUCCUAUGGAUCCAAAUGUCAAACUUGUACCAGGACAGGGGGAGCCUCUAAGAGAUCCUGGGAGAUAUCGACGACUUGUAGGCAAAUUGAACUACCUCACCAUCACUUGACCAGACAUCUCUUUUCCUGUGAGUGUGGUUAGUUAAUUUCUACAGUCACCAUGUGACAACCAUUGGGAUGCUGUGAUCCGCAUUCUUCGAUAUAUCAACAGAACACCAGGCUAAGGUAUGUUGUAUGAAGAUAGGGUUUAUACCCAAAUUGUUGGUUACACAGAUGCAAGUUGGGCUGGUUCACCCUCAGAUAGGCUUUCCACCUCAGGGCAUUGUGUUUUUAUUAGAGGUAACUUAAUAUCCUGGAAGAGUAAGAAACAAGAUGUAGUGGCCAGAUCAAGUACCGAAGCUGAGUAUCGAGCUAUGGCUUUGGCAACAUGUGAACUCAUAUGGUUGAGGCAACUCCUUCAGGAAUUGAGAUUUGGAAAAGAUAAACAGAUAAAGCUAGUCUGUGACAAUCAGGCCGCAUUAUAUAUUGCAUCCAAUCCAGUCUUUCAUGAAAGGACCAAGCAUAUUGAAGUUGACUGUCACUUCAUUAGAGAGAAGAUCGCAUCAGGUUGUGUUGCUACAAGUUUUGUUAAUUCAAAUGAUCAACUAGCAGACAUCUUCACUAAAUCUGUUAGAGGUCCUAGGAUUAAAUACAUUUGUAACAAGCUUGGUGCAUAUGACAUAUAUGCUCCAGCUUGAGGGGGAGUGUUGAAUAUAAUGUAUUUAUAGUAUACAAUCUUUCUUUCCUUUCUUAAUAUAGGUCACAUAUAUGGUAGUUAGUUCAACUUAGCCUUGUAUAUAUAUUUCUCUAUUGUAAGAAGUUAAUCAUAUGAAUGAGAAUUAAGGUUUUCUCUCUCUCUUUCAACAGUAGGAGACAAUAUUGAUCACUGGUACUACCAUCAAAUCUAUAUGGCAUCAAUCUCCAGGAAGACAUCUAACAAAGAUUAUCCAAUUCCCUUCCCAGGUAACCAAACCCCAAUUCAAGCUUUUACUAAGAUUAAUGUAUGAAUGAAGAAUUUAAAAAAAUUACAGGAAUAAAGAUUACCUCCCACUCUGAAGUUGUAAGAGGGAUAGUUGGAUCCAGCAUUGUAGUAAGCACAUCUACAAAAGGUACUCCAGCAAUAGCAGCCCUAAAUAAAUCAGGCCGCAUAUUAAGAACAGCACCAAUAAGCA
rnacentral:lncRNA from 1 species